AUCGUACGACGACGUUUGAUCAUGGCUUCAGAGCGAACGCUAGUCGGCAGGCGUUAACACAUGCAAGUCGAACGAAGUUCUUCGGAACUUAGUGGCGAACGGGUGAGUAACACGUAGGUAAUGUACCCUUUGGUCGGAGGAUAACUCAGGGAAACCUGAGCUAAUACUGCAUAUGUCCUUCGGGAUAAAAGUCUUCGGACGCCUUAGGAGCAGCCUGCGGCCCAUUAUCUAAUCCUAGUUGGUAGGGUAACGGCCUACCAAGGGUACGAUGGGUAGCUGGUCUGAGAGGAUGAUCAGCCACACUGGGACUGAGACACGGCCCAGACUCCUACGGGAGGCAGCAGUGGGGAGUAUUGCGCAAUGGGGGAAACCCUGACGCAGCCAUGCCGCGUGUGUGAUGAAGGCCCUCGGGUCGUAAAGCACUGUCGGGAGGGACGAAGAUCUGACGGUACCUCGCAAGAAAGCACCGGCUAACUCCGUG
rnacentral:rRNA from 1 species